AUUGCACGCUGGCGGCAGGCCUAAUACAUGCAAGUCGAGCGAGCGGCGGACGGGUGAGUAAUGUCUGGGAAACUGCCUGAUGGAGGGGGAUAACCACUUGAAACCGUAGCCAAUCCCCCAUUCCACCAGCUGUGCCCAGGUGUGAUUAGCUAGUAGGUGGGGUAACGGCUCACCCAGGCGACGAUCCCUAGAUGGUCUGAGCGGAUGACCAGCCACACUGGAACUGAGACACGGUCCAGACUCCUACGGGAGGCAGCAGUGGGGAAUAUUGCACAAUGGGCGCAAGCCUGAUGCAGCCAUGCCGCGUGUGUGAAGAAGGUCUUAGGGUUGUAAAGCAAUUUCAGCGGGGAGGCGUUACCCUAAGAAGAAGCACCGGCUAACUCCGUGCCAGCAGCCGCGGUAAUUC
rnacentral:rRNA from 1 species